AAUAAUAACACCUCUUAUCUCUCCCAUUUCCCCACCUUAGCCGGUGGGGUUUUUAUUUUUA
rnacentral:misc_RNA from 1 species